GAGACCCGUACCUACAAUUGCUGACAGGGAAGUUUUUCUGACUGAGCACAUUGUAGGGACUGCCCGGGAAACCGGGAGGAAGGUGCGGGCUACGGUAGGUCUGUAUGCCCCGGAUGCUCUGGGCUACACGCGCGCAACAAUGGUAAGGACAAUGGGAUGCAACUCCGAAAGGAGGAGCUAAACCUCGAAACCUUAUCUUAGUACGGAUUGAGGGUUGAAACUCACCCUCAUGACGUCGGAAUCCCUAGUAAUCAGAAGUCAUCAUCUUCUGGCGAAUAU
rnacentral:rRNA from 1 species